rnacentral:rRNA from 1 species
UACGUAGGGGGCAAGCGUUGUCCGGAAUUACUGGGCGUAAAGCGUGCGCAGGCGGUUAUUUAAGCCAGACGUGAAAGCCCCGGGCUUAACCUGGGAAUGGCGUUUGGGACUGGAUAGCUAGAGUACGGCAGAGGGAGGUGGAAUUCCACGUGUAGCAGUGAAAUGCGUAGAGAUGUGGAGGAACACCGAUGGCGAAGGCAGCCUCCUGGGCCAGUACUGACGCUCAUGCACGAAAGCGUGGGGAGCAAACAGG